UCGAGCCGUGCCUGAUGUUUAUCAGAGGCCUGGAUCAAAGCUGCCCAGGUCGUAAAUCUCUCUCUGUGGCUGUCAGGCUCCAGGGCAGCUGAAGAGGGUUGACAGCCCUUUGGGUCUCAAAGGAAAAAAUUUGCUUUACUCCACCCACCCCCAUCUCUGCCAAGAAGCUGUCCUCUCAGGAGCCACUGCUGGGCCAUUCCAUUCCUAGGAGCUGCUUCUGGAGGCCAAGAAGUGCUUGUUUGUGGUGGGGGAGAGAGAACCGAGCAGUGGAAAGAGAGGCAAGGGGGAGGGGGGACAGAAGCAGCCCCCUGUGUGUGUAUGUGUGUGUAUGUGUGUAUGUGUGUGUACGUGUAUGUGUGUGUGUAUGUGUAUGUGUGUGUAUGUGUUUGUGUGUAUAUGUGUGUGUAUGUAUAUGUAUGUGUAUGCGUGUAUGUAUAUGUGUGUAUGUGUGUGUACGUGUGUGUUUGUGUGUGUAUGUGUAUGUGUGUAUGUGUAUGUGUGUAUGUGUGUGUUUGUGUGUGUAUGUGUGUAUGUGUGUAUGUAUAUGUGUGUAUGUGUGUGUGUACGUGUAUGUGUGUGUAUGUGUGUAUGUAUAUGUGUGUAUGUAUGUGUAUGUGUGUAUGUAUAUGUAUGUGUGUAUGUAUAUGUGUGUAUGUAUAUGUAUGUGUAUGCGCGUGUAUGUAUAUGUGUGUAUGUGUGUAUGUGUGUGUUUGUGUAUGUAUAUGUGUGUGCAUGUAUGUGUAUAUGUGUAUGUGUAUGUGUGUGUAUGUGUAUGUGUGUAUGUAUAUGUGUAUGUGUGUAUAUGUAUGUAUGUGUGUAUGUAUAUGUGUGUAUGCGUGCGUGUGUUUGUGUGCGUAUGUGUAUGUGUGUAUGUAUAUGUGUGUGUGCAUGUAUGUGUGUGUAUGUGUGUAUGUGUGUAUGUAUAUGUGUGUAUGUGUGUGUGUGUGUGUAGUGCUUUGCGCCAUCACCUGUGUGGUUGUGAAAUGCCUUAUGGGUUCCUUUGUAAGUGGAUGGAUGGGGGUGGGGGAGAUAGAAACUCAGAGCCCAAAGUGCGCCAAGAACUGUGAACGCACCCCCCUCCUUUUACAGAAGAAGAAACUGAAGCCCAGAAGGAUGACAGGCUUGUUCCCAGUGCCACAAAGAGGGUUCACUGGGAGCCAGGCCAGAGAGGGCCCCGAAGCUCUAGGAAAUCCCUCCUUGCCCCUCGCCAGCAUUCGUGGAGCCCGUGCCUAUGGGUUCUCGUGAACUCCUCGGGGACAAUGUGAAGAAAUUCAAGCCUGGCUGGAGAACACGAACGAAGCCAGAGGAUCGCAGAAAUAGCUGGAUGGCGCGGGGCUGGGGUGCGGGGGAGGGUGGCCCUGCCUGGACAGACUUUCUCAUCCCAGUGACGGCAAGCUCUCGGAAUUUCUUGUGUCCAUGCGUAGGAGGCUUUGAAGUGUCUCUUCCAGCUCUGGACACCCGGAGACUUUGGGGCUAAUUGUUUUCGCUCUCCAGGAAAGAGGAGAAGGACCGUUUGGGCAAACUGUCACCGUUUUCUGUCAUCGGGCUUCCCUGAGAAUCAGAGGUGCUAGUGAAGGAAGGGGCGGUAGAAAUAGCUUAAUACUGCCCUUUUUUCACGCGGCACAGGCGGCCUAGAGAAAGGAAGG
rnacentral:lncRNA from 1 species